GUAGGGAAUAUUGGGCAAUGGAGGCAACUCUGACGCAGCCAUGCCGCGUGCAGGAAGAAGGCGCUACGCGUUGUAAACUGCUUUUAACCGGGAAGAAACCCCAGGACGUGUCCUGGGUUGACGGUACCGGAGGAAUAAGCACCGGCUAACUUCGUGCCAGCAGCCGCGGUAAUACGAAGGGUGCAAGCGUUAUCCGGAUUCAUUGGGUUUAAAGGGUGCGUAGGCGGAGCGUUAAGUCAGUGGUGAAAUCCUGCAGCUUAACUGUAGACUUGCCAUUGAUACUGGCGCUCUUGAGUGCGCUUGAAGUGGGCGGAAUGUGCCGUGUAGCGGUGAAAUGCUUAGAUAUGGCACAGAACACCAAUUGCGAAGGCAGCUCACUAAGGCGAUACUGACGCUGAGGCACGAAAGCGUGGGGAUCGAACAGGAUUAGAAACCCUGGUAGUCC
rnacentral:rRNA from 1 species